GGGGCUUCCCUUUCGCAGUCAGAAGUCGAGAAAGAAAAGGUUUAUUUUUUUGACCUUCAUCUGAUAUUGAGAAGUGUGGUUGCAGUACAAGUGGGACUUCUUCCAGAGCCGCAGGUGGGCGAGUGUGAAGGUCAAGGGUUAGGAAAAAUGGGAAGACUUUGUCCUGGGAGAUUCCCGGUGCUUUGUGGAACCCGGGGAAACACUGCAUGCUUUCCGUUGUUUCUGUGUGGACGGCCUUGGUAUGAGGACAUUUUUCAGAGAGAGAAGCAAGGAAUCUCGGAGCCCAGGCAUUCUUGGCAUCCGUAGAUCUUGAAUGUAAGCUCUUGGCUGUCAGUUAGCCAGUCUUUUCUCGUGAUCCUGUAACAAUAGUACAGAAUGGGGAAGUGCUGGUGUCCAACGAGCAGAGGAUACCUGUCUGAUGGAGGGUCCUCUCGCCUGCUUGCUUGCUUUUUGUAACCUGGUACUUCCUCCUGCCCUCCCUCCUAUGCUGUUUCAACGUGUGGGCCCCGCCCCUUCCGGGAGCAGCUGGAGCCCGGUUAGGCUGCAGUAAGCACCUUGCAGUGGUUGAAGUCAGCCGGUCCUGGGUGUCUGUCCCAGCUUGUUUGUGUGGACUCCGGCCUGGCGGGUGGCUCGUCCCGGGGAGGGCGGGCAGCGCGCAGAGCUUCUGCAGAACUCCUGUGUUUACACAGCCGCGUCGGGCAAUGCCAUCUCCCCCACGACACUCUCGGGGCAGCACCCAGCUAUUUCGGCGGUGGGUUGGGGGAGGCCCAAGUUCAUAACUUUAUUAUUAUUAUUAUUAUUAUUAUUAUUUUUUACAAAGAAACACCAAAGAAAGCUGUGGAAAGGAACUGGCUGCCACCCCCAAAAAGCCUAAGCAGAGAGGGCUGUACCAUAAGGUGUUAAUUACCACUCCCUUGGAGCACAAACAUUGGUUUUUCAAAAGCCAGCUAUCAGGAGAGGGGGAGCUAUUAGGAGCAGCGUUGCAGGUGAGCCAAAAGGCUGCCCGUCCGUUUCUCCCGUUGCUGGCUCAUCUGUGGGACCACUUUGGUGUGUAAGCAACCUGUGGCCUGCAUCCGGGCCUUGAAGGAAGCACAACUUUGCCAUCUUUUCCUCUGCCCUGUUGUACACCCCUCUCCCCCUCUAUUCCGCUGGCUUACCAGUGGCUCCCAUAAAGCCUUAUCUAGCCCCUUGUCGGCACUGGGGGCCCGAGAGGCUGUCUCCCCGCUAGUCUGGCCUUUCCUGGAGUUAGGGCUCCUGUCCUCAAAGCCUUUCUGGACCAAGGAGGCGAAUACCUGUGCAUUUAGACACAUAGGUUCGACCUGUCACUCUCACCCAUCUUCCAAAGGGGAGCUUCACGUUGCCAGGGGGGGAAGAACCAUGACCUCCACUUAUUUCUAAGGUGCUAGGGAAAGGUUCCAAGGUCGUCGGUCCCCAUCUUCCCUCCAGCUUCACGGGCCGAGUUUCGUGGGACUGCUGACUUUUCUAUCCUGUGAUUGAUUUACUGCCCGAUGCUUCUGUUUCAUUCCUGAUCCUUUCUACUAUGCAUUUUCCUUUUAUCAGGUGUACAAAGUUAAAUACUGUGUAUUUAUCACUUAAAAAGACAUGAACUUGAGAAAAAAAAUAAGCCUUUGGUGUUUUUCCACAGAUGUUUAAGCUUCUCUGUAAACUUGAAAUAAACAAGACAGCCAAAAUGGUGCAAA